AGAGAGAGAGAGAGAGAGAGAGAGAGAGAGAAUGGGGUCAGGUUGGUCUGCUAACUUUUAUUGCCUUGUUUGUCCUUUUUCACCCCUCCAUCUUUCUCCUCUUCCCCUUUUUAUCUCCUCCUUUUCCUCCCUUCUCAUUCCCCUCUCACCUCAUCUCCUUCCUUUCCCCUCCGAGAAACCCUCCCUUCUCCCCCUCCCCCUCUUCCUAAUUGUGUUCAUAGCCAUGCUCCUGUAUGGUUAGUUAUAAGGGUUUUGCUUCGCUGGAUCUUCCAGGAAAGCAAAGGGAAGCCGUUGUUUUUGAGGGGAAUGUUGUCUGGCUCGAGGCCGUUACUCGUUGAUCCGUGAUUGCACAUCGACUGUUGACCGCUUCGGCUUCCACGACUUAUAUCAAUCGAGACCCAUGUGCAAAUGUUUCACCGGUUUUGAGCUAGCGACGUCGGACCAGGCUUCAUUCCCCCCAAUUAUCGGUUUUCUGUGCACAAAUCUCUCAACACCCAGCAACCAAUUAUUUCUAGGGAAGUAUAUAUGAUGAUGAUGAUGAUGAUCGCACAGCAUCAUAAGACUUUUUCAGAACAUCUCUGUCUGGCUUUAGGAGAAGCUUGUGCUUCACUCUCUUCGGUGUAUGGAGAAGAGAAUAUCAGAGGUGAAGGUGUGCACAAGAAGCAACCUAGCCAGCUCUUCGAACUAAUCCUCUCAAGGUUUUAACUAUGCAUUAAGGAUCAAAAAAUAUACGUACAUUGUUCAUUGUUGAAUGAAUUAUCAUCGAACGAAGACACUGAUAAUUUACAUCGGUAGAGGAGUACCGAAAGCUAGGUAAAAAAUAAGAAGAAGAGGCAGAUGAUGAACAGAGGAAGAGGGAGAGACAGAAAGAGUGAUGUGAAAGAUGGGACCUGUGAUUUCCCUAGACAUUGUGGUCUUGUCUUGUACAUGAAGAUGUUGGUGAGCUGUGCUGUUGUUUUGAUAUUUUACCCCAAUGUUGCAAAUUCAGGAUUGUUCUACCUCACCCACAGUAUAAGAUCCACUUCAAUGCAUACAUGAACUUGGAAACAUGGAUGACAUAUGCAUAUGUAUAGACGGAAGAAAAGCAGUUUCGAAGAUCAUAUCAAAACGAAACCAAGAUUUUCUCAAUUUAGGAGGGCGUCGAUGAGACGCUCGUUGCUCUCAAAACAUGACACCCUCUUACCAGUCUGAUGAGUUGUUUCCGAGCUGCAAACGCAAACGAGUCAAUAUUAACCCCACCAAGUAUCAUGUCAAGCUUCGAAUUCAAGGUCCUUCCUUUUGUUUUGUUGGAUAAUUUUGAAUCGUUGGAUAUGUGGGAUGGAUAUGUAUACUGGUAUAAUAUAUUCUGGCAUCGAUUUCUGGAGCCCUAAUUGAAAUGGAAUGAACACUGAAUUCACUUUAAA